UACGGAGGGUGCAAGCGUUAUCCGGAUUCACUGGGUUUAAAGGAUGCGUAGGUGGGUCUGUAAGUCUGUGGUGAAAUCUCUGAGCUUAACUCGGAAACUGCCAUGGAUACUAUAGAUCUUGAAUACCGUGGAGGAUAGCGGAAUAUGUCAUGUAGCGGUGAAAUGCUUAGAUAUGACAUAGAACACCAAUUGCGAAGGCAGCUGUCUACCCGAAUAUUGACACUGAGGCACGAAAGCGUGGGGAUCAAACAGG
rnacentral:rRNA from 1 species